rnacentral:rRNA from 1 species
CUACGGGCCGCUGCAGUGAGGAAUUUUGCGCAAUGGGGGAAACCCUGACGCAGCAACGCCGCGUGAGUGAAGAAGGCCCUUGGGUCGUAAAGCUCUGUCAAUGGGGAAGAAGUUAUUAUGUGUUAAUAGCACAUUUUAUUGACGGUACCCAUGAAGGAAGCACCGGCUAACUCCGUGCCAGCAGCCGCGGUAAUACGGGGAGUGCAAGCGUUAUUCGGAAUUAUUGGGCGUAAAGGGCACGCAGGCGGUCCUGUCAGUCAGAUGUGAAAGCCCGGGGCUCAACCCCGGACGUGCAUUUGAAACAGCAGGACUUGAGUACGGGAGAGGAAAGGGGAAUUCCUGGUGUAGAGGUGAAAUUCGUAGAUAUCAGGAGGAACACCGGUGGCGAAGGCGCCUUUCUGGACCGAUACUGACGCUGAGGUGCGAAGGCGUGGGGAGCAAACAGGAUUAGAUACCCCCGUAGUC